ACACUCUUGUAAUCACUAUUGACUUUGCUUACAUGAUGGAAUAUCUUACAUCUCACAAGUUAUUUUGGCAAAAACAAUGUGUAACCAAAUUCAAGUUUAUUUUGGCUAGAAGUGGGUUAUUCACUGCCAGACUAUAUUAGGUCUAAAGUAAAACUUGACUGUAAAAUGACAAUUAUUGCUUGCUGGGCAGUCACAGCUCUGUCUGUUGUACUGUCAUUAAAACAUACACUGAAAAAAAUCAUAUUUGGCUUAAUUUACUUGGUUUUUUUUUUAAACAAAACUUGAUAAUGAAUUUUGUUGUGUAAAUAAUGUGUGCAUAAGCAUUUUUUACAAGAGGACCUCUGCUUUAUAUCUAUUAUUGUUUUAAAUCUAUUGUUUUGGACAUAGCCAUCUCAGCAACAAUCUAACUAAACAACAAUGCUGCUUAGCGAUAAAAAAUCUUGUGUUUCUCUCUCUCCCUUUCACAUGCAUGUUUUUUCCCUUUAUAUGUGUUUGUCUCCUUGAUUUUUUUCCCAGUACUUGUUUUUCAUUUCUAAGUAUUUGUGCUUUUUCCAUCUUUGGCAGACAUCUGUGUUGCCAUAGGACCGCAGCCAGACACAAGACGAAAUUAUAGAAGAAGAGCAACUCAGCGGCUGUGACUGGCCUGGUGCCCAUUUAACAAGUUGGCUUUUGCCCCCUGGAGUGUGGUACAUGGCUCCCAAAUGACCCCUGUCAUGUGGACUCCAGUCUCUGUGCCAAACCUGUGUCAGUGCUACUCGCUGUGGCAUAAGAGCUGAAAGAAAUGACCACCAAUCGCAUGCGUCCAGUAAUCCAAAACAUAAAGG